rnacentral:rRNA from 1 species
UACGUAGGGUGCAAGCGUUAAUCGGAAUUACUGGGCGUAAAGCGUGCGCAGGCGGUUAUGUAAGACAGAUGUGAAAUGCCCGGGCUUAACCUGGGAACUGCAUUUGUGACUGCAUGGCUAGAGUUUGGCAGAGGGGGGUAGAAUUCCACGUGUAGCAGUGAAAUGCGUAGGGAUGUGGAGGAACACCGAUGGCGAAGGCAGCCCCCUGGGUCAAGAUUGGACGCUCAUGCACGAAAGCGUGGGGAGCAAACGAGG